rnacentral:misc_RNA from 1 species
CUGCUGGUCUACAUAUGAAGCCUCGAAAGCAUUCUUUCAAGAGGUCAAUGGUAACAGUAACAGUGGCACUGUUACCUGAAUAACCUUGCAAAGAAAGGGCAUUUCAUAAUUUUCAGUUGCAUCACAAAUAAUUCUGUACAAGUAACAAGAAUCUAGCUUCACACAAGAGAUGGUAAGCAACGCACAAACAUCAACUUUCCAGUCUUACCCGUCUAUUAUUGGGCAUUAGUAGUCAAAUUGAUUGG